rnacentral:rRNA from 1 species
CCUACGGGAGGCAGCAGUGAGGAAUAUUGGUCAAUGGGCGGGAGCCUGAACCAGCCAAGCCGCGUGAAGGAAGAAGGCGCCAAGCGUCGUAAACUUCUUUUGUCGGGGAACAAAGGGCGCCACGUGUGGUGUUGUGAGUGUACCCGAAGAAAAAGCAUCGGCUAACUCCGUGCCAGCAGCCGCGGUAAUACGGAGGAUGCGAGCGUUAUCCGGAUUUAUUGGGUUUAAAGGGUGCGUAGGCGGUUUAUCAAGUCAGCGGUAAAAUCGUGGAGCUCAACUCCAUCCAGCCGUUGAAACUGAUGAUC